rnacentral:rRNA from 1 species
GGUUAAGCGACUAAGCGUACACGGUGGAUGCCCUGGCAGUCAGAGGCGAUGAAGGACGUGCUAAUCUGCGAUAAGCGUCGGUAAGGUGAUAUGAACCGUUAUAACCGGCGAUUUCCGAAUGGGGAAACCCAGUGUGUUUCGACACACUAUCAUUAACUGAAUCCAUAGGUUAAUGAGGCGAACCGGGGGAACUGAAACAUCUAAGUACCCCGAGGAAAAGAAAUCAACCGAGAUUCCCCCAGUAGCGGCGAGCGAACGGGGAGCAGCCCAGAGCCUGAAUCAGUGUGUGUGUUAGUGGAAGCGUCUGGAAAGGCGCGCGAUACAGGGUGACAGCCCCGUACACAAAAAUGCACAUGCUGUGAGCUCGAUGAGUAGGGCGGGACACGUGGUAUCCUGUCUGAAUAUGGGGGGACCAUCCUCCAAGGCUAAAUACUCCUGACUGACCGAUAGUGAACCAGUACCGUGAGGGAAAGGCGAAAAGAACCCCGGCGAGGGGAGUGAAAAAGAACCUGAAACCGUGUACGUACAAGCAGUGGGAGCACGCUUAGGCGUGUGACUGCGUACCUUUUGUAUAAUGGGUCAGCGACUUAUAUUCUGUAGCAAGGUUAACCGAAUAGGGGAGCCGAAGGGAAACCGAGUCUUAACUGGGCGUUAAGUUGCAGGGUAUAGACCCGAAACCCGGUGAUCUAGCCAUGGGCAGGUUGAAGGUUGGGUAACACUAACUGGAGGACCGAACCGACUAAUGUUGAAAAAUUAGCGGAUGACUUGUGGCUGGGGGUGAAAGGCCAAUCAAACCGGGAGAUAGCUGGUUCUCCCCGAAAGCUAUUUAGGUAGCGCCUCGUGAAUUCAUCUCCGGGGGUAGAGCACUGUUUCGGCAAGGGGGUCAUCCCGACUUACCAACCCGAUGCAAACUGCGAAUACCGGAGAAUGUUAUCACGGGAGACACACGGCGGGUGCUAACGUCCGUCGUGAAGAGGGAAACAACCCAGACCGCCAGCUAAGGUCCCAAAGUCAUGGUUAAGUGGGAAACGAUGUGGGAAGGCCCAGACAGCCAGGAUGUUGGCUUAGAAGCAGCCAUCAUUUAAAGAAAGCGUAAUAGCUCACUGGUCGAGUCGGCCUGCGCGGAAGAUGUAACGGGGCUAAACCAUGCACCGAAGCUGCGGCAGCGACGCUGAUGCGUUGUUGGGUAGGGGAGCGUUCUGUAAGCCUGUGAAGGUGUGCUGUGAGGCAUGCUGGAGGUAUCAGAAGUGCGAAUGCUGACAUAAGUAACGAUAAAGCGGGUGAAAAGCCCGCUCGCCGGAAGACCAAGGGUUCCUGUCCAACGUUAAUCGGGGCAGGGUGAGUCGACCCCUAAGGCGAGGCCGAAAGGCGUAGUCGAUGGGAAACAGGUUAAUAUUCCUGUACUUGGUGUUACUGCGAAGGGGGGACGGAGAAGGCUAUGUUGGCCGGGCGACGGUUGUCCCGGUUUAAGCGUGUAGGCUGGUUUUCCAGGCAAAUCCGGAAAAUCAAGGCUGAGGCGUGAUGACGAGGCACUACGGUGCUGAAGCAACAAAUGCCCUGCUUCCAGGAAAAGCCUCUAAGCAUCAGGUAACAUCAAAUCGUACCCCAAACCGACACAGGUGGUCAGGUAGAGAAUACCAAGGCGCUUGAGAGAACUCGGGUGAAGGAACUAGGCAAAAUGGUGCCGUAACUUCGGGAGAAGGCACGCUGAUAUGUAGGUGAAGUCCCUCGCGGAUGGAGCUGAAAUCAGUCGAAGAUACCAGCUGGCUGCAACUGUUUAUUAAAAACACAGCACUGUGCAAACACGAAAGUGGACGUAUACGGUGUGACGCCUGCCCGGUGCCGGAAGGUUAAUUGAUGGGGUUAGCCGCAAGGCGAAGCUCUUGAUCGAAGCCCCGGUAAACGGCGGCCGUAACUAUAACGGUCCUAAGGUAGCGAAAUUCCUUGUCGGGUAAGUUCCGACCUGCACGAAUGGCGUAAUGAUGGCCAGGCUGUCUCCACCCGAGACUCAGUGAAAUUGAACUCGCUGUGAAGAUGCAGUGUACCCGCGGCAAGACGGAAAGACCCCGUGAACCUUUACUAUAGCUUGACACUGAACAUUGAGCCUUGAUGUGUAGGAUAGGUGGGAGGCUUUGAAGUGUGGACGCCAGUCUGCAUGGAGCCGACCUUGAAAUACCACCCUUUAAUGUUUGAUGUUCUAACGUUGACCCGUAAUCCGGGUUGCGGACAGUGUCUGGUGGGUAGUUUGACUGGGGCGGUCUCCUCCUAAAGAGUAACGGAGGAGCACGAAGGUUGGCUAAUCCUGGUCGGACAUCAGGAGGUUAGUGCAAUGGCAUAAGCCAGCUUGACUGCGAGCGUGACGGCGCGAGCAGGUGCGAAAGCAGGUCAUAGUGAUCCGGUGGUUCUGAAUGGAAGGGCCAUCGCUCAACGGAUAAAAGGUACUCCGGGGAUAACAGGCUGAUACCGCCCAAGAGUUCAUAUCGACGGCGGUGUUUGGCACCUCGAUGUCGGCUCAUCACAUCCUGGGGCUGAAGUAGGUCCCAAGGGUAUGGCUGUUCGCCAUUUAAAGUGGUACGCGAGCUGGGUUUAGAACGUCGUGAGACAGUUCGGUCCCUAUCUGCCGUGGGCGCUGGAGAACUGAGGGGGGCUGCUCCUAGUACGAGAGGACCGGAGUGGACGCAUCACUGGUGUUCGGGUUGUCAUGCCAAUGGCACUGCCCGGUAGCUAAAUGCGGAAGAGAUAAGUGCUGAAAGCAUCUAAGCACGAAACUUGCCCCGAGAUGAGUUCUCCCUGACUCCUUGAGAGUCCUGAAGGAACGUUGAAGACGACGACGUUGAUAGGCCGGGUGUGUAAGCGCAGCGAUGCGUUGAGCUAACCGGUACUAAUGAACCGUGAGGCUUAACCUU